AUAAGAUAACGGUGGCUAAAUGCCUGAGGGGAUGAGCCAUUGAAAGGAGUUACUGUGAGUGUGGCGAAAGGAGGACAAAUAUAUCAAACGUGUGUGCCAAGACUGGAAGGCUGUUGUAUUCAUGAACCAGCUCGGCUUUUGUUAAGUGCUAAUGAAAGUCUGUUUGAACUCACAUGCUCCAGUAUUUGUGAAAUAUGACUGACCGAAUUUUUCCACGACAGCUUCAGGAUCUCGGCACGGUAUUUCGGGUGUUUAUUCAAAUUCCCAUCGAUAAUAUGCAAUUGUGUUCGUUGUCUGUAGCUUAUGCCUGCCCAUACCAUAACCCCAGAACCACCAUGGGGCACUCUGUUCACAAAGUUGACAUUAGCAAACCGCUCGGCCACAUACUGUAUUUGUUCUGUGUUUGGAAGGCUGGUUGGAAGUACUGACAAAUUCUCUAAAAUGACAGAAGCCGUUUGUGGUAGAGAAAUUAACAUUAAAUUCUCUGGCAACAGCUCUGGUGGACAUUCCUGCAGUCAGCAUACCAAUUGCACGCUCUCUCAAACCUUGAGACAUCCGCGGCACUGUGUUGUGUGACAAAACUGCACAUUUUAGAGUGGCCUUUUACUGUCCGCAGCACAAUCAGCUCAUUGAUAUGACACGCCUGUCAAAUGGAUGGAUUAUCUUGGCAAAUGAGAAAUGCUCACUAACAGGGAUGUGAACAAAGUUGUUUGCAAAAUGUUCGAGAAAUACGCUUUUUAUGCGUAUGGAACAUGUCUGGUAACUUUUCUUUCAGCUGAUGAAACCAACACCUGACAUGUUGAGUUUAGUAGUAUUACCUCUGUCUGGCUGCUGCUCACAAACGCCUCGCUGGAGUCGUAGACCAUACUGGCUAACAUCAUGUUGCACUUCUGCGAGGGACGCCAGUCCACCACAGCCGCAGGCAGCCUCUGAGUCUGGCCUCCCAUGAAAGGGUUAACACAGAGGGUACAGGUACCGUUAUCGCUCUUCCUCCAGGUGUCCACGUCGAUGACAUAGGCCUGCUUGCGUUCCAUGGUGACUACGUCGAAACCCUCGCCCGCCAGGUUGGUACCGGGAGCUGACAGCGCAGCCUUGCACUCUGCUGGCCGGCCCGUGGUGCACGAGGACAGGACAGGGGAAAGCCACGCUCCCCACAGCCACAGCAGGGCAACCAGAGAAGUCUGUGUGCCUGGAGAGGAGGAGAAAGUAGAUUUGACAUACAUUUAAAGAUCAAGGUCAAUUCAAAUGCUGUCCAGUGGCUCUAGGACAGGUAACAUGCAGCCAUUCCCCCGGUCUACAUCCAGACUCCUAGCCAUGGAGCAGAGCCAGGCAUGGCCAGCUGGACCCCGACCAGCACCAGGCCCGGGGACAAGGCCUCCACCUACAGCCUGGCCAAUGUGGUGCCCCAGGCCAAGGAGUUCCUCCAACACAACUGGCUCCCCACCACGCCGCAUCAACUACUGCCAUGGGAGCGGUCUAUGUUAUCACCGGCCUCACCACCGCCAGUAACACCAUUCGGAGAGCUGUCUACUGUCUCUGACACUGGCGAGUUGCAGGCAUUCCCGUCUGGCUACAUGCACUGGCCGUGCUGGAAAACUAAACCAAUGCAAAACUUUACAAACAUGGCCACCUCAACCCUGACGGCCACCAGACUGACCCAGACCACAAGACCUCCACCUAAACACUGACCAAUGUGGUGCCUCAGGUCUGCCAUUUUGUUUUCAAAUGAUUUAGUUAACAUUUUACUUGAAGACAAUGUCACAUUUGUAUUGAACAAAAUAGAAUUCCUCAACAGGGGGAUAAUGUACUGAGAUACGUUACUAAUUUAAAAAAUUAAAAAAUUAAAAAAAAUACAACAUCCAGUCAACUUUUUAUACCAAGUAAGUCAAAUAGCAACACCAGUGGUAAAAUGACUUCCUAAACCCCAACAACCAAUAAACAUGCACAGGUAUGAUGUGGCACUGUCUUUCAGGUCUGAGAAUUCAGCGCCGGCACCUGAGAGGAGCAGGAGCACGUCAUCCACAAGCGCCUCAACAACUACUGCCGCUGCGCCACCUACAUUAUCACCAGAAUCGGUGAACAUGAUCCGGUGCCAUAACAUCAACAUUACAGCCAUCUAGGCCAGAUUGUUCUUCGAGACGUUUACCUUCUAGUCAUUUAGCAGACGCUGUUAUCCAGAGGAAUUCGGAUUAAGUGCUUUGCUCAAUUGCGAAUCGACAGAUUUUUCAUCUAGUCGGCUUGUGGAUUCAAACCAGCAACCCUUCGGUUACUGGCCCGAUGCUCUUAACCGCCAGGCUAUCUGCCAUCCAUGAACUAUUGCUUGCUCCCUCCAGUUGUUCACUCAACAGCUCAGGGAACCUGGGCACCUGGAACAGGCAAGUGCUAACGUCAACACUUGCUACAGUGGUCCCUAACAGUAAGCCAGGCCUGGAGUGCCACCAGGCAGAGCCCGGCCGUUGUGUCUGAAUGGUUGGGUGGGUCUGCCUUCGGGUCUGAAGCGCAGUGAGGAGGACGUGGAGGGCCAUUAUAUCCUUUACCGGACGUUUAAAUGUUAACAGAUGAUAGAUGAUCAACCUGGAACUGAGUCAGUUGUGUUUGGUGUGAUGUUAUUUGAAAGCCAAGAAAAAAAAUUAAAAUGUAAAAGUACAUUACAAUGAUAUAUUUGACUUUAUGGGGACUGAAUGCUGAGUUAAGGCUGCCAGGCUUGCUAGGACAGACCAGAUACAACUUCAAUUAGCACUGAAGUGUGAAGUGAAAGGUGUCAAGAUCUUUGGGCCCCAACAAGUGGCAGGAGUCUUUGAAGUCCCCUUUGAAGCCCCCUUCUGUCACUCCCUGGCCAAAGAGAGGCUUUUAUUCUCUAUUUUGGGUAGGCCACGGUGUGACUAGGUUAGGCAUUCUAGUUUAUUUCUUUCUAUGUUUUCUGUUUCUAUGUUUUGGGUUUUGGGUUUGGUUCUCAAUCAGGGACAGCUGUCUGUUGUCUCUGAUUGGGAAUCAUACUUAGGCAGCCUUUUUUCCUUUGUAUUUUGUGGGUAGUUAUCUUUGUUAGUGGCACUAUAGCCCUCGUAAGCGUCACAGUCGUUUCUUUGUUUUUAUAUAAAUAAAUAAAUGUAUGCUCACUA